UAUUGCACAAUGGGGGAAACCCUGAUGCAGCGACGCCGCGUGAGUGAAGAAGCGCCUCGGCGCGUAAAGCUCUGUCAGCAGGAACGAUAAUGACGGUACCUGAAGAAGAAGCCCCGGCUAACUACGUGCCAGCAGCCGCGGUAAUACGUAGGGGGCAAGCGUUAUCCGGAUUUACUGGGUGUAAAGGGAGCGUAGACGGUUAUGCAAGUCUGGAGUGAAAGCCCGGGGCUCAACCCCGGGACUGCUUUGGAAACUGUAAAACCGGAGUGCAGGAGAGGCAGGCGGAAUUCCUAGUGUAGCGGUGAAAUGCGUAGAUAUUAGGAGGAACACCAGUGGCGAAGGCGGCCUGCUGGACUGUAACUGACGUUGAGGCUCGAAGGCGUGGGGAGCAAACAGG
rnacentral:rRNA from 1 species